UUCUUAGUCACGAUUUAUCUUUUUUAUUGAUCACGUAUUAUUUAUUUUGUUUAUUGAUUACAGAUUAACCAAUUCACUCGUCACAAUCGAUCACAUAACCUGUGACCACCACUUCCAACAGCACUACCACCACCGCGACUACCACGACACUGGUCACAAAUUAUCCAAUAAACAAAUUGUGAGUAACAAUCAAAGUCACAAUUUUCAUCGCCAUCCCCGUCGCCCGUCACACACCAACACCACGAUUCAUUGAUUCCGCAACGACUCACAGACUCCACAACAGAUCCAUCUCCAUCAUUUCAACCAAGCCAGCGUGCUCAGGCCCAUCACACCACAACCACCACCCAACAAAAAACCCCCAAAACCUGCCACCAUCUCACCUCCCGUAGCCACCAAAUCCACCACCAUCCCCAUCACGCCAACGCCACCAGAUCGCACCAAUGGAGGGACAACAGAUUGCACCACCGCCACAGAUUGAGCCAUUGCCACAGAGGUCGCACCACCGCCACAAAUCGAGCCAUCGCGACAGCGAUGUGGAGCGAUGGUGGUGGCACAAGGCGGGGGUGACACAUCGCUGCUGCUGCAACUCGCCACCAGAUCUCGUCAUUCACGGUCAGACUAUACCUUUCGCUGUGACGAGCUCUUAGCAACCUCCAAUGCCAGCAACGUCGGUCGGAGAAAGCUGACCCAUCGUCAAUCGCCGGAGUUUUUCAAUGAGUCGUCGGCAUUCGCUGAGAGAUUGGAGAGCAGUUUCCCAUUGCUCCGGUUGUGUGAGACUGUGAGAGAAUAUUGGAAAGGAAUUAUAGGGUUUGAAAUAUUAAUAGGUUGAAUUAAUUAAUUUUUAUAUGAAUUUAUUAAUUAACAAAAAGUUCUGAUCUUUAAAAGAUUAAACUACAAAUCUGGUUUUAGAAUUUAGGAUUUUAAUACAAGCGAUCUCUGUAAUUACCACUUUAAUCAUUGUUUGAGCCCAUAAUGGGAUGGGCUCCCUUUUUAUUAACACUCUCACUCCACUUAAUAUAGGAUUGGCCCAUUGAGUUCUAUAUAUAUAUUUUUUGGCCCUUUCUCCUCUCCAUCUUAAGGCAAGUAGAAUGAUUGGUUUCUAGGGUUUGAAGGGGAGUAGAGAGUAGUUUUCUCCAUAGCAAAUUUCUUCAUUUUGCAGCCUAAAGAAUACAUGGAAAGUCAAUCACAAGCUAUUGGAGGUAUGUUUUUUUGUUAUUGUUGAACACAUGCUAUAACUAUGGCAAGGGAUUAUCAAAUCCAUUGAAGUUUUAACAAUUUUAUCAUUUUCCAACAAAAUCAGAUUGCUUUUUGUUGGAAAAUGCUGGCAUUUUGUAUGCACACCUUAGCACAAGGUUAUUUCUUGUUGACCGUGAAGAAUAAUUCUACUUGUACAUAAGGAGUUAUAUAAUAGUUUAUAUAUAGAUGAGGUGUGGAAAAGAGAGAGUGAAAGUUCUCUCUCUCUCUCUCUCUCUCUCUCUUUUAAUUUGGUUGAAGAAAUUUUGGUUUAAUCAUAUCUCACCACAUCAUGUGUGUGUAGUUUUGUUGUACAUACGAGUUUAGAGUUACCUUGCUUUUACUAACAAAUUAGAACAGCUGUACACAGAAUCACUUGGUCAAAUGGAGAGGUAAUCCACUUUUUGUCUUGUAUCUUUUAGAACUUUUUUGCAUAGUUUUCUGUACUUAUUACAGUAAUAAAUACUGGGUUUACAAUAUUAAUUCAUCAGCAAAGUUUCUUCUCAUUCAUGUUGCACUUGUUCGUUGAAUAAUUGUUAGUUUGUAUUGAUUUCUUAGUUGAAUGGUUGUGUUCCGGUCAUCAUUGGGUGCAAUUACUAAUUAACAUGUUUUUAUGCAUAGGCUUUCUUAAGAAAGGAUCUAAACAACAAAGACAACCCAUUAAUGUGCAUGCCUGAGCUUUGUGCGCGCGCAUACAUUGUCUCAUGCAUGCACACUCAAAUGAUCUUGAUUUGAGAAAAUGUUAUUGGAAUCAUCAUCAAGAGGAUCAAAGAAAAUAUAGAUAUGGGAUCCAUCUUGGACUCCAUACACAGUGAGAGAGACGUCAUUUUUAUCCAUGAGGCAUUUAGGAUUAUCGUCAAGCAUCAGAAUGACUUCUUGAAUUCCUCUCUCUCUCUCUCUCUCGAGAUCUGCUACUGUGGCAUUGUCUUCUUCUUGUAUGUAGAAUAGUUUUCCUGUCAUUAUAUCUGCUACCUGUUUCAUUUUUCAGGAAAGCUGCUAAUCUCUUCCGUGCAGAUUCAUUUCUGCACAGCUGCUCAUUGUAUUU